rnacentral:tRNA from 1 species
CACUGAGAAGCUUUAUAUUAGCGCUAGCCUUUUAAGCUAGAGAAGGGGACUAUCGUCUCCCUCAAUGA